CAGCAGCCGCGGUAAUACGAAGGGUGCAAGCGUUACUCGGAAUUACUGGGCGUAAAGCGUGCGUAGGUGGUGGUUUAAGUCCGUUGUGAAAGCCCUGGGCUCAACCUGGGAAUUGCAGUGGAUACUGGGUCACUAGAGUGUGGUAGAGGAUAGUGGAAUUUCCGGUGUAGCAGUGAAAUGCGUAGAGAUCGGAAGGAACACCUGUGGCGAAAGCGGCUCACUGGACCAUAACUGACGCUGAUGCACGAAAGCUAGGGGAGCAAACAGAAUUAGAUACCCGCGUAGUCCCUGUCUCUUAUAC
rnacentral:rRNA from 1 species